AGUGGAUGGCGAGCGUGAGACACCAUAAUGGAUGCCAAUAAGAUUCUGAAUGGAAAGUUUACUUUUUAAAAGUUCCCAAAUGGUUCCAUUGACAAGACCAAAGUGAUCUGUGUGUUUUGUCGUUGUGAACUGAGCUAUCAUCGCAGCACGUCCAGUCUGAAAUACCACUUGAUGGCCAAGCACACAGCUAAUGCGAAUUCUCCGCCCCCUCGUCAAAGCCAGGCAACA